CACAUAGGGACCAAGCGUUGUCCGGAUUCAUUGGGCGUAAAGAGCUCGUAGGCGGUUCGAUAAGUCGGGUGUGAAACCUCCAGGCUCAACCUGGAGACGCCACCCGAUACUGUCGUGACUAGAGUCCAGUAGGGGAGCGUGGAAUUCCUAGUGUAGCGGUGAAAUGCGCAGAUAUCAGGAGGAACACCAGUGGCGAAAGCGGCUUCCUGGUCCAGCACCGACGUUCAGGCACGAAAGCGUGGGGAGCAAACAGG
rnacentral:rRNA from 1 species